CACCAUGAGACGUGAAAUGAAAUGAGUCAAAAAGAGAGAUAAGAGAGAGUUGCUAAUUGGAACUGAUGAAGAAGAUUGAAGGGCCCUCAAGUCUGAAGUCUGAAAACUACAGUGCAGUGACAGUGACAGGGUGAAUCCUUUGAAUAUCCCCUAAAAAGUACUUGGCCUAAACACCAGCAUCGUCUCCCAAUUCCCCACCCCACCGCAACCAACAGAUCCAUAACAAAUUAACAGCAACCCCACCCCACCGGAUUGGAGAAGUUUCUCAAUGCUUUGGGCUUCGACCAGAGCUCGGCGUUGGGUUCUGUAUCUAGUGGGUCGUUUUCCUGGCGGUUGGUGUGGCGGUUCCGCUGGUGGCUCUGUGGAUGGGCAACUGCUCUGAGUGCGAGAUCUACGAGCUCCGCGGCUGCGAGAUGGUGAUUGUCACCUUUCAGGCCACGCUCGCUGCCGCCUUCUUGCUCUGCCUCUCCCAUAACCUAUGUGUUCUUGUUGUUAAUACUCAUCUUCAUCUGGGUUUGAAAUCUUUUGGGUUUGAAAAUUGAAACAAGAGAGUUGAGGAUGAAGAAGGAGGAGAAAAUCAGAGAUGGAAGGGUGGUUGUGGUGGUGAGUGGCGCUGGUUGAAGGGGAGAAGAAGGGUGGUUGUCAAUGUGUGUGUGGUUAAGUGUAUAUGAGAUUAAAUUUGGGGUAAAAAAAAUCUAUUGGGUUUUUUUCUUGUAUACUAUGAGGAAGAUGAAGAUCAUGAGGGAAGAGAUGAAGAUGAUAGAUUUCUGGGUUUUGAGUUUUUUAUUAAUUUUUUUUCUUUAGAAAUUGUGUAGGUGGUGCAGAUAGUAAAAAAUGGGAUGAAAAUAGCAAUCUCCGUUAGCUUUCAGACGACUCACUAACGGAAUGGGCAUAUUUGCACAAAUUAAUACAUGAGGGAGGAAAUCUGCUCAUUUUAAACAUAAAUGAGAGAUUUCGCACAACGAUGAAAGAUGAGGGAGCAAAUGUGCAAUUAAGCCCAAGAAGAUCGUGGACCAAGCUUUUGCUGCUCCUUCGAAUUAACAAGCACCACCUUGAAAGUUCCUUGUUCUUCGCUCCCUCAGUUUGUAUUCUAUGUUCUUCGCCUUCCUCUUCGAUCUUCGCCUUCUUCGUCGAUCUCUGGAGGUGUUCGUUGUGGCCGUCGUUCGAGUGUUCUUUGGAGGUGUGAGUCAUUUAGGGUUCAAAUUGGGAAUGAAUAGGGUAUAAUUUGAAGCUGAAUUGUGAUUAUUAGAUUAGAGAUUUGAUAUUAUUAGUUUAAAUUAUUGUUUA